rnacentral:rRNA from 1 species
AGCUCAUGAUUGGGCGUAAAGUGUGCGCAGGCGGUGCUGUAAGACAGGCGUGAAAUCCCCGGGCUUAACCUGGGAAUGGCGCUUGUGACUGCAGUGCUGGAGUGUGGCAGAGGGGGAUGGAAUUCCGCGUGUAGCAGUGAAAUGCGUAGAUAUGCGGAGGAACACCGAUGGCGAAGGCAAUCCCCUGGGCCUGCACUGACGCUCAUGCACGAAAGCGUGGGGAGCAAACAGGAUUAGAUACCCUGGUAGUCCACGCCCUAAACGAUGUCAACUGGUUGUUGGGUCUCUUCUGACUCAGUAACGAAGCUAACGCGUGAAGUUGACCGCCUGGGGAGUACGGCCGCAAGGUUGAAACUUAAAAAAUUAGACGG